AAAUUUUUUACGAUAUUUAUGUAAAGAACAAAUAUGUCGUUUUAUACACCAGUAAUCAGUAUAUCAAUGUUGAUAUACAGUUUAGUGAAAUUCAAAUUUCAUCAUUUAUUGCCUAUGUUAAAGCAAGGAAUAGAAGAGUAUCACACAAUAUUCAAAAACACGUGACUUUUGUUAUUUUUCCAUUUAGAGUUGUUAAUGAAGUCAAGAACACUCUCGGGUUUUUUAAGAGCUUUUUGUUGACAUGAUCUUGUGUCGAUUGCAGAGAAAGCCAGUGCCACCAGUGCUGAAUAUCGUAAAGCCUCUUGCGUACAACGGAAAAAGCACUUGAAUGCUUCAUUGCGAAAUGAAACCGUGUUUUGUGCUUAUUCAUUUUCAUUAUGUAAGAUUGGGCAAGUCUAUGCACGUCUUCAUAAAACGACUCUUUCAGUCUGUUUUGCAAGAUCUCGUUUAAAUAAGAGACAAUGAAUUGAUAUUGAAGUCAUCAAAAUAUCUUUGAUACCAUGUUAUCCGUGCAUUUAUAAAUUAUACAAUCUCAGUGCACGCCAUUUCCUUUUACAUGAUGCAAGACCGAAUGCACGACCAUCAUCCAUCUGAAACCUGAUUUCUUAUCAAACAUCAAAAAAGAACAAUUACGUACGUCACAUUACAGAAAAAAGACUAAGUUACAUAUGACAGCAGAUGCUAUGCAGGUGUUUUGAUUGAUAAUAUCUUUUGUGAUGAAGGAUGAUGAGAAUAUUCCGACAAGAUCUAAUGAGGUUAUCGAGGGUUCUUCAUAUCUUGAAAAACAUUAAAAUCGCAUGCUCUUUAUGUGAAGUGUGAAUUGAAGAAAGCAGAAAACAGUGGCUUUCGUUGUUACGUGUCGAAGUUGAUUAUGUAUAUUCUGCACCCGGAAAUGAGAUUUAGAACAGACCUUGUUAAAUAAUUAACUUUUUUUCCCUUGAGUUCAAUUGCGACUCGUGUUUGAUUUUUUUAGGAUUAAUGUACAGACAAGGAUGUUUUUUGAGCGUGGGAAGAAAAUGUCAAAUGUAUAAAUCAUUGCUCUUAGCGUAGUAAUAUCAUGAAAAAUUCUUAUUCAAUUAUAGUGACAAUCUCAACUUGCUUAAAAGUGUACGAUUAAAAAAUAUUUUUGCUGUUGUACCUCACACGCUUAGCCGCUACAUUAAUUGCUUGAAGAUUUUUGCAUCAUUUGGCUGGGAGAAAAACAAUUUUUUUGAACUGAGGUGUAUAAACAAUCCAUUUCGUCAAACUGACUAUACGACUCUGGAAUUAAUACCGCUCUAAAUUUAAUUGAACUCUUUGCAUAGCAUACAGAUGUUUUAAAGUAAUGAUUAAAAUUUGCUCUUUAGCGAAUAA